GUCAAUAACCCCAACCUAAGAGGAUGGGGCGAGGGAUGACGACCAACUGUCCGUGUUUGACUAGACCAUUGAGCCGAAUUUUGGUACGAACAUCCGGAUGCUUCCCCAGUCCGGAUCUCUUCA
rnacentral:sRNA from 14 species